AUUGAACGCUGGCGGCAUGCCUUACACAUGCAAGUCGAACGGUAACGGGCCUUCGGGUGCCGACGAGUGGCGAACGGGUGCGUAAUACAUCGGAACGUGCCCGAUCGUGGGGGAUAACGAGGCGAAAGCUUUGCUAAUACCGCAUACGAUCUACGGAUGAAAGCCGGGGACCGCAAGGCCUUGCGCGGACGGAGCGGCCGAUGGCAGAUUAGGUAGUUGGUGGGAUAAAAGCUUACCAAGCCGACGAUCUGUAGCUGGUCUGAGAGGAUGAUCAGCCACACUGGGACUGAGACACGGCCCAGACUCCUACGGGAGGCAGCAGUGGGGAAUUUUAGACAAUGGGCGCAAGCCUGAUCCAGCCAUGCCGCGUGCAGGAUGAAGGCCUUCGGGUUGUAAACUGCUUUUGUACGGAACGAAAAGCCUUCUUUUAAUACAGGAGGGUCAUGACGGUACCGUAAGAAUAAGCACCGGCUAACUACGUG
rnacentral:rRNA from 1 species